GCGGAAGUGGCGGAAUUGGCAGACGCGCGAGAUUUAGGUUCUCGUGGGGAGACCCGUGGGGGUUCGAGUCCCCCCUUCCGCACCA
rnacentral:tRNA from 1 species